UACGUAGGCAGCAAGCGUUGUUCGGAAUUACUGGGCGUAAAGAGUGUGUAGGCGGUGCUCCAGUCUGGUGUGAAAUCUCCCGGGCUUAACUGGGAGGGUGCAUUAGAAACUGGAAUCGCUAGAGGAUGGGAGAGGUAAGCGGAAUUCCUGGUGUAGCGGUGAAAUGCGUAGAUAUCAGGAGGAACACCUGUGGUGUAGACAGCUUCUGGACCAUUUCUGACGCUGAGACACGAAAGCGUUGGGUAGCAAACAGG
rnacentral:rRNA from 1 species